rnacentral:misc_RNA from 1 species
UGGUUUCUCCUCUCUCAUGACCGGGCACCCACGGCAUUGCAUGCUGUCUCAGAGCCCAGCGGCCUCCCCCCUCUCUCCCCACUCCUUCUGGGGAAGCCAAGCAGCCCACCCGACUCUCCCCCUGCUAUCCUCCGCCAAAUGCCGAGCCACCUCUGGCUGUGGCACGAUCAGGCACCUACGACGUAAGGCAGCGGGGGUGGAGGAGGAGGAGGAGGAGGAGGAGGAGGGGGUCUGAGCGGUGCAUCGCUGCUGACGUCGGCGGUCCGGUGCUGGACGGCGUGGCGUCGCAGCGGCCCGCGAUCGUGCCAGCAGGGCGGCACCAUCCAUAGGAGUUUAGGCGGCGUGCCAGCGUGGCUCGGACGUAUCCCCUCCCCCCGCCACCCCUCCCCUCGGCCCUCACACGGCCUACUAGUGUGGGUGGGUGGGUGGGGGGCUGAGUGCCACCGCCGAUGAGGGGGCAGGGAUGCGCCAGGGGUGGCGACGGGGCAUGAUGGACGCGGCUGUGAGGGACCCUGCGCUGCGGGCCUCUGGGUAUGGUUUGAGGCGGAGGCGGUGUUCCGAUGACAGAGUCGGCGCGUUGCUGUAAGGCUAUUGCAGCGCUGCUUCGCACGACGCGAUGGGGAGGAGGGGGCCUGCGGCAGGCCGGGUGCCGAGUGAAGUGUAACGCAUGCUCUGCAGCAGAGAACGGGCACGCUGAAGCAGACCUCUUCCUCGGGACCGUUUCCUGCUUGGCCACAUCUUUUUUUUCUGCGAAUGUAUUGCAGUCGAGUGUGAGGUACACUUGCCACUGCAGGUGAGCCCUCCUCUCCGUAUUCCCAAUGCGUCCCUGUUUUGGGUGUUGCUGAGUGGGUGGUUGUGGUGGCGUUGCUGCCUUUUUGUCUCGUCCUCUCCCUUCUGAUGUUGCGGCUGUUGCGAUGGCGAGGUUUUUGUAAUGUGUUAUGCCGAUCACAGCGCGUGGUGCACUUUUUUUUUCUUCUAGCUUUUCUCUCCCGUUGCCAUGAAGUCUUUGCAUGUCUCCGUUGGACAGUGCCACGUGUUGGGUGGUGGGGUUGAGUGGGGGGGGGAGAGCAGGCAGACGGACAGCCCCUCCUCUUCCCCGAAAAC